rnacentral:ncRNA from 1 species
ACAAUAGAAGUGCAAAUAACGCUGACUCCGUGGAAUUUGAAAAAGGUCUUGUUAGGAAAACAAGAGAAGUGUAUGAAGUUCCAAUGAGGGUUAGUACGGGUAACGGGUCGAUGUGCAACACUUCCGCGAUUCGGUAGCCACAGAAAUCCACAGCCAGCGAAAACAGGCAGGAAAGGUUUGAGUAAGAGCGCAUCUGUUGGGACCCGAAAGAUGGUGAACUAUGCCUGAAUAGGGUGAAGCCAGAGGAAACUCUGGUGGAGGCUCGUAGCGAUU